rnacentral:tRNA from 1 species
GGGGCUAUAGCUCGCUGGGAGAGCGCCUGCUUGCACGCAGGAGGUCUGCGGUUCGAUCCCGCAUAGCUCCACCA